UGAUAUUAUAUUCUAUGAAAUUAUAUACUAAAACCAUACUAAAGAAAGAGAAAGGAUACAUGAGAAGGCUAGAAAAAAAUGAUAAUAAAAACCCGUGACAGACUCAGAGAGUUUAACACAGCUGGACUGGAAUUGGUCAUUAAAUUAAAACAACUCACAGGGAACCAAUCAAACCUGUUGGUAAGCAACCGCCAGACCACAUUCCAAACAAUCAGAUAAUUAUUUACAUUUCUUUUCUGAGGCUUCUUAUCUUCUCAGGAGAAAAAUUCUGGGCAAAGAUUUUUCAAAAAAUAUCACAGUGACAGAACACGAGUGUACUUUUAGCUCAGGGUAGGUGAGAGGCUGUGAGGGGCAGCAAAGGAGACACAACACAACCCAGCAGCAGAGGCCGGGUCAUUGUGGGCUAAUGGAAGGUGCUCACUGGCCUCCGACCCCAUGAAAUCCCAAUUUUGCCCAUUCAAUUCAGGCAGUUUUGACCCCACCGUUCACGGGUUUUCUCCCCGAGAUGGAAGGGGAAGCUCUGGCCCCGCUGCCACGAGAGGGCUCUGCUCUGUCAGCAAGGCAGAGCCGAGUUCCUCCUCCAGCCCCAUCCAAUCCAGGAUUCGUCAUUUCGGGCACGAGCAGGAUCUUCAGGUCCGGGUUUUUCUGAGGCAAAGCUCUGAAAUGCCACAAAUGUGUGGCAUCCAACGAGAACGACUGCAACCAGCAGGGAUCCCACAGCUGCCCCCAGUACGCCGAUGCCUGCUCCACCAUCACUGCACCCAACAGCAUCAUUAAAUCCUGCUCCUACAAGUCCUUCUGUGACCAGGCGCGCCGCGGCGGCUCCGGCGGGGCCACCGUGCGCUGCUGCUUCAGCGACG